rnacentral:rRNA from 1 species
UAGCAUUUCUAGCUUGCUAGAAGAUGACGAGCGGCGGACGGGUGAGUAACGCGUAGGAAUCUGCCGAGUAGUGGGGGAUAGCCCAGAGAAAUUUGGAUUAAUACCGCAUACGCCCUACGGGAGAAAGGAGGGGAUCUUCGGACCUUUCGCUAUUCGAUGAGCCUGCGUGAGAUUAGCUUGUUGGUGAGGUAAAGGCUCACCAAGGCGACGAUCUCUAGCUGGUCUGAGAGGAUGAUCAGCCACACUGGGACUGAGACACGGCCCAGACUCCUACGGGAGGCAGCAGUGGGGAAUAUUGCACAAUGGGGGAAACCCUGAUGCAGCCAUGCCGCGUGUGUGAAGAAGGCCUUCGGGUUGUAAAGCACUUUCAGCAGUGAGGAAAGGGUGUAGAUUAAUACUCUGCAUCUGUGACGUUAACUGCAGAAGAAGGACCGGCUAACUCCGUGCCAGC